rnacentral:sRNA from 1 species
UGAUACGGACCGGACCGUGGAUAAGUGC